AGUGAACGCUGGCGGUAGGCCUAACACAUGCAAGUCGAACGGCAGCACAGUAAGAGCUUGCUCUUACGGGUGGCGAGUGGCGGACGGGUGAGGAAUACAUCGGAAUCUACUUUUUCGUGGGGGAUAACGUAGGGAGACUUACGCUAAUACCGCAUACGACCUACGGGUGAAAGCAGGGGAUCUUCGGACCUUGCGCGAUUGAAUGAGCCGAUGUCGGAUUAGCUAGUUGGCGGGGUAAAGGCUCACCAAGGCGACGAUCCGUAGCUGGUCUGAGAGGAUGAUCAGCCACACUGGAACUGAGACACGGUCCAGACUCCUACGGGAGGCAGCAGUGGGGAAUAUUGGACAAUGGGCGCAAGCCUGAUCCAGCCAUACCGCGUGGGUGAAGAAGGCCUUCGGGUUGUAAAGCCCUUUUGUUGGGAAAGAAAAGCAGCAGGUUAAUACCCCGCUGUUCUGACGGUACCCAAAGAAUAAGCACCGGCUAACUUCGUG
rnacentral:rRNA from 1 species